rnacentral:rRNA from 1 species
UACGAAGGGGGGCUAGUGUUGCUCGGAAUCACUGGGCGUAAAGCGCACGUAGGCGGGUUGCUAAGUCGGGGGUGAAAUCCUGGAGCUCAACUCCAGAACUGCCUUCGAUACUGGCGACCUAGAGUCCGGGAGAGGUGAGUGGAACUCCGAGUGUAGAGGUGAAAUUCGUAGAUAUUCGGAAGAACACCAGUGGCGAAGGCGGCUCACUGGCCCGGUACUGACGCUGAGGUGCGAAAGCGUGGGGAGCAAACAGG